AGCGGCGGACGGGUGAGUAACGCGUGGGGAACCUGCCCUAUACAGGGGGAUAACAGUUAGAAAUGACUGCUAAUACCGCAUAAGCGCACGGAGCCGCAUGGCGCUGAGUGAAAAACGAUAGUGGUAUAGGAGGGACCCGCGUCUGAUUAGGUAGUUGGUGGGGUAACGGCCCACCAAGCCGACGAUCAGUAGCCGACCUGAGAGGGUGACCGGCCACAUUGGGACUGAGACACGGCCCAAACUCCUACGGGAGGCAGCAG
rnacentral:rRNA from 1 species